rnacentral:rRNA from 1 species
GCGUUGUUCGGAUUGACUGGGCGUAAAGGGCGUGUAGGCGGUUGGUUAAGUCGGGUGUGAAAGCCCGGGGCUCAGCUCCGGAAGUGCGCCCGAAACUGGCCAGCUGGAGCGCGGUAGAGGAGGGUGGAAUUCCUGGUGUAGCGGUGAAAUGCGUAGAUAUCAGGAGGAACACCGGCGGCGAAGGCGGCCCUCUGGACCGUUGCUGACGCUGAGACGCGAAAGCGUG